UGGAAGAAAAAAAUGAAGAAUAGAGCUGCAAUAAGCUACUUUUUUCAGCUUCAUCCCACUCAUGUUUUUGUGAGAGAGGAAAAAAACAGCUUCACUCAUGAAGCUGUUUUGAAAACAAGUGUUUAGCAAAAAAAAAACAGCUCACAACAACUCAUGAAGCUGUUGUAAGCUAUACCAAACAUACUCUUACUUUACUUUUCUUUUCUUUUGUUCAAAAUUUCUCAGCGAGGCCUUGUUUACCCCUUGUUUAGAUGUGAAAACUUUUUGAUUUUGCUACUGUAGCACUUGUUUGUUUAUGACAAAUAUUAUUCAAUCAUGAAUUAACUAGAAUCAAAAGAUUCGUAUAGCAAUUUACAACUAAACUGUGUAAUUAGUUUUUGUUUUCGUCUAUAUUUAAUGCUUCAUGCAUGUACCGCAAGAUUUGAUGUGACGAGAAAUCUUGAAAACUUUUUUUGUUUUUGGGUGGCAAAAUUUUAAGAUUUCGGAUACUAUAACAUUUUUGUUUUUAUUUUAUAAAAUAUUGUCCAAUUAUAGACUAACUAGACUCAAAAGAUUCAUCUCAUAAAUAAAACUGUGUAAUUAGUUUUUGUUUUUGUUUAUAUUUAAUACUACAUACAUAUGCUGUAAGAUUCGAUGUGACAAGAAAUCUAAAAUUUUUGGCAAAGUUUUUUUUGGAACUAAACAAGCAUAAACCCCUUUCUGCUUUGCAUUGCGAUCAGGAUCAAAAUUUCAGUAAAAGGUUCACGGGCCCAAACUUUUAUAGACUUGUAACAUCCCAAAUUUUUACGAAAAUAAAAAAAAUAUGAGCUUUUUAAAAUUUUUUCUGUAAUCGUGUGAAUCAUAUAGUUUUUAGGACUAACUCGAUCCUAACCCGCUAACAAAAUGUCGCAUACAUAUAGAAUUGCUUGUAGGCAAGUGCCUUGUUCAUGAGUCGUCUUGAGUUGGGUCUGGUUUGAGAUUUUGAGUUUCUUUUGGAGUGCACAAAUCCAUAGCAAAGUCUUCCCAAAUCUUCGUUGAGCCUAUCUCAAAGACUAAGCGAAUCCCUUCUCAACCUUAUCGUUGGAGUACGUCUCAAAUACCUUUGGAUCCUUUUUGAGCUAUUCCCAAAAUUUCCUUUUCAAACCCUCUCCCUCUUUGAUCUUAUUCUAAAUCUCCACUGAUAAAUCCAUCUUGAAUGCGUAGCAACACCUUUCCAAUCCUUCGUGAUCUCUCCCACCUCCUUGGUUCCUCUCUUGAAUCCCUUUAAACCUCUUCUUGAAUCUCUCAUAUAUAUAUAUAUAUAUAUAUAUAUAUAUAUUCUUCCGAAUUCGUUUCAGUAUCUAAUUGAAUCUCCGACAAAUCCCUUCGAUUCCCUCUCUUGUACAGUAAAUCAAAAAUGGGGAAAACCAUCUCUACUCCCAUUUGGCCCAAUCGCCCUAGCUCCUCUCUCCCAGCCCAGCUCGUGCUAGCACUCCCUCGGCCCAGCA
rnacentral:lncRNA from 1 species